UUGACCUCGGAUCAGGUAGGGAUACCCGCUGAACUUAAGCAUAUCAAUAAGCGGAGGAAAAGAAACCAACAGGGAUUACCUCAGUAACGGCGAGUGAAGCGGUAACAGCUCAAAUUUGAAAGCUGCCAACAGGCCGCGUUGUAAUUUGUAGAAGAUGCUUUGGGUGUUGGCCUAGUCUAAGUUCCUUGGAACAGGACGUCAUAGAGGGUGAGAAUCCCGUAUGUGAUUAGUGCCAGCCCCCGUGUAAAGCUCUUUCGACGAGUCGAGUUGUUUGGGAAUGCAGCUCAAAAUGGGUGGUAAAUUUCAUCUAAAGCUAAAUAUUGGCCAGAGACCGAUAGCGCACAAGUAGAGUGAUCGAAAGAUGAAAAGCACUUUGGAAAGAGAGUUAAACAGUACGUGAAAUUGUUGAAAGGGAAGCGCUUGCAAUCAGACUUGCAGGCAGUCGAUCAUCCGAGGUUCUCCCCGGUGCACUCGAUUGUCUUCAGGCCAGCAUCGGUUUCGGUGGUGGGAUAAAGGCUGUGGGAAUGUGGCUCUUCGGAGUGUUAUAGCCCACGGUGCAAUGCCGCCUACCGGGACCGAGGACCGCGCUUCGGCUAGGAUGCUGGCGUAAUGGUUGUAAGCGACCCGUCUUGAAACACGGACCAAGGAGUCUAACAUCUAUGCGAGUGUUUGGGUGUCAAACCCAUACGCGUAAUGAAAGUGAACGGAGGUGAGAGCCCUUUAGGGCGCAUCAUCGACCGAUCCUGAUGUCUUCGGAUGGAUUUGAGUAAGAGCAUAGCUGUUGGGACCCGAAAGAUGGUGAACUAUGCGUGAAUAGGGUGAAGCCAGAGGAAACUCUGGUGGAGGCUCGCAGCGGUUCUGACGUGCAAAUCGAUCGUCAAAUUUGCGUAUAGGGGCGAAAGACUAAUCGAACCAU
rnacentral:rRNA from 1 species